CCUUUUAGUACCGGAGCUAACGCGUGAAGUUGACCGCCUGGGGGAGUACGGCCGCAAGGUUAAAACUCAAAGGAAUUGACGGGGACCCGCACAAGCGGUGGAUGAUGUGGAUUAAUUCGAUGCAACGCGAAAAACCUUACCUACCCUUGACAUGUCCGGAAGCCCUUAGAGAUUUGGGUGUGCUCGAAAGAGAGCCGGAACACAGGUGCUGCAUGGCUGUCGUCAGCUCGUGUCGUGAGAUGUUGGGUUAAGUCCCGCAACGAGCGCAACCCUUGUCGUUAAUUGCCAUCAUUUAGUUGGGCACUUUAACGAGACUGCCGGUGACAAACCGGAGGAAGGUGGGGAUGACGUCAAGUCCUCAUGGCCCUUAUGGGUAGGGCUUCACACGUCAUACAAUGGUCGGUACAAAGGGUUGCCAACCGCGAGGGGGAGCUAAUCCCAGAAAGCCGAUCGUAGUCCGGAUCGCAGGCUGCAACUCGCCUGCGUGAAGUCGGAAUCGCUAGUAAUCGUGGAUCAGCAUGUCACGGUG
rnacentral:rRNA from 1 species